UACAGAGGGUGCAAGCGUUAAUCGGAAUUACUGGGCGUAAAGCGUGCGCAGGCGGUCUGUUAAGACCGAUGUGAAAUCCCCGGGCUCAACCUGGGAACUGCAUCUGUGACUGCAUCGCUGGAGUACGGUAGAGGGGGAUGGAAUUCCGCGUGUAGCAGUGAAAUGCGUAGAUAUGCGGAGGAACACCGAUGGCGAAGGCAAUCCCCUGGACCUGUACUGACGCUCAUGCACGAAAGCGUGGGGAGCAAACAGG
rnacentral:rRNA from 1 species